rnacentral:rRNA from 1 species
GUUAGGAAUAUUGGACAAUGGGCGAAAGCCUGAUCCAGCCAUGCCGCGUGAACGAUGAAGGCCUUCGGGUUGUAAAGUUCUUUAGCCGAUGAUUAUAAUGACUGUAGUCGGAAAAUAAGCCCCGGCUACUUCGUGCCAGCAGCCGCGGUAAUACGAAGGGGGCGAGCGUUAUUCGGAAUCACUGGGCGUAAAGCGUGCGUAGGCGGUUUUGUAAGUUAGGAGUGAAAGCCCAGGGCUCAACCUUGGAAUUGCUCUUAAAACUGCAAGGCUCGAAUCUCGGAGAGGAUAGCGGAAUUUCCAGUGUAGCAGUGAAAUGCGUAGAUAUUGGAAGGAACACCAGUGGCGUAAGCGGCUAUCUGGACGAGUAUUGACGCUGAGGCACGAAAGCGUGGGGAUCAAACAGGAUUAGAUACCCCGGUAGUCC